AAAUGGGCAGAGAGGGAGAAAUAGAUAAAUGGGCAGAGAGGGAGGGAGAAAUAGAUAAAUGGGCAGAGAGGGAGAGGGAGAAAUAGAUAAAUGGGCAGAGAGGGAGGGAGAAAUAGAUAAAUGGCCAGAGAGGGAGAAAUAAAUAAAUGGGCAGAGAGGGAGAAAUAGAUAAAUGUGCAGAGAGGGAGAGGGAGAAAUAGAUAAAUGUGCAGAGAGGGAGAAAUAGAUAAAUGGGCAGAGAGGGAGAAAUAGAUAAAUGGGCAGAGAGGUAGAAAUAGAUAAAUGGGCAGAGAGGGAGAGGGAAAUAGAUAAAUGGGCAGAGAGGGAGAAAUAGAUAAAUGGGCAGAGAGAGGGAAAUAGAUAAAUGGGCAGAGAGGGAGAAAUAGAUAAAUGGGCAGAGAGGGAGAGGGAAAUAGAUAAAUGGGCAGAGAGGGAGAAAUAGAUAAAUGGGCAGAGAGGGAGAAAUAGAUAAAUGGGCAGAGAGGGAGGGAGAAAUAGAUAAAUGGGCAGAGAGGGAGAAAUAAAUAAAUGGGCAGAGAGGGAGAAAUAGAUAAAUGUGCAGAGAGGGAGAGGGAGAAAUAGAUAAAUGUGCAGAGAGGGAGAAAUAGAUAAAUGGGCAGAGAGGGAGAAAUAGAUAAAUGGGCAGAGAGGUAGAAAUAGAUAAAUGGGCAGAGAGGGAGAGGGAAAUAGAUAAAUGGGCAGAGAGGGAGAAAUAGAUAAAUGGGCAGAGAGAGGGAAAUAGAUAAAUGGGCAGAGAGGGAGAAAUAGAUAAAUGGGCAGAGAGGGAGAGGGAAAUAGAUAAAUGGGCAGAGAGGUAGAAAUAGAUAAAUGGGCAGAGAGGGAGAAAUAGAUAAAUGGGCAGAGAGGGAGAAAUAGAUAAAUGGGCAGAGAGGUAGAAAUAGAUAAAUGGGCAGAGAGUGAGAAAUAGAUAAAUGGGCAGAGAGGUAGAAAUAGAUAAAUGGGCAGAGAGGGAGAGGGAAAUAGAUAAAUGGGCAGAGAGGGAGGGAGAAAUAGAUAAAUGGGCAGAGAGGGAGAAAUAAAUAAAUGGGCAGG